UUGGUUAGCUCAGUGGGAGAGCAGUAGACUGAUAAUCUACGAGUCGCGGGUUCGACUCCCGCACCAAACG
rnacentral:tRNA from 1 species